GCGGGAGCUGCUCCUGGAGGGAGCCUUCGCAGCGGGGGUGGGGGGCGGGCCUGAGGGAGCGUCCGUCUGGGAGACACCCUCCUCCUCUACCCGCCACGCGCUCUCGGGCGGCCUGUGAGGCACAACCCUCCCCCCACCUCCCCUUCUUGGUCUUCGCGAGUGUGGGAGCCUCGCGGCACUGGCGAGUCCCUCCAGCUCUGCCAGUAUUUCCCAUUGGCCAAACCUACUGGAAGCAAAGAAGCCCAUGAUGCAGUCCAUACAACUCAGCCUCCUGAGGCCCAGAGUGGGAUGAAGAAAGGUGGAGAGGGACUUGAAGGGGGUUUAGCAUGAGGCAUAAA